rnacentral:tRNA from 1 species
AGGCUGAGGCCCACUGGUUUAGGCGCUUAGUUGUUAAUUAAAGUUUUUACGGGAUCGAGGCCCGACAGCCUAGGG